GGCCGGCUGCACGCCCACACUUGCUCGCCCACACACGGCGCUGAGGCAGCCGCCUACGAGCGCGCGGCGCCGGCCGGGUAGCAUUCCUCCGUCGCCCCUCCCCCGGCCCCGCAUCGACUGGACCUUCUCCCUCCCUGCUGCUCUCCUGCUCCACGCCGGCCGGCUUCCCUUCUCCGGGAACUAGUCCUAGCCGCGCCUACACAACUUGGUCUCGUCCGUCCCACCCGCCACCACCGCGCGCUCGCGCCCGCCUGGCUGCGCCGCUACUCCGAGCGGCCACCAGCGGCGGCGCCUCUCCAAGCCCUCGACCACCCCGCAGCCCCCAAAUCCCUAAUCUCCCCGCGGCGGUUUCUCCUGCGCCGGUACUCCGAAUAGCCCUAGACGCGGCGCCUCCCCGAGACCCCGGCCGCAGCGGUCCAAGGCUGAAGGUCCUCACCGCAGAGGUACGCCGUUCUCACCCAAUCGCAGGUUUCGAGGUGUAGUGGUACUGGUAACCAUCACGUACACUCAGUCUGAAGAGUUAUCUUGUUCCGUAGGCUAGCUUGAGCGAGUGAUUGUUUGUCACAUAGCAAGUCCCCGCAACUCUUUGAGGCCCCAUUGCUAGAUCACUAUUUGCCAACUGGAGUUGAGGUUUUGUACAAACCAUCACGCACAGUAAGUCGCAAGAGUUAUCUUGUGUCUGUGACUUGCUUACUUGAGGACAAAGGUUGUUUGUGAUAUAGCAAGUCCUUGUGUCUCUCUGCUGCUAGAUCACUAUUUACCAAUUAGAGUUGAGGUUGGAAUAUAGUGAAAAUCAAACUCACGUUUUGCCUAGUUCUCUCGAACGGAGGUUAAACAUGAGAAUGGAACUCCUCAAUUUAUGCUAUUUCAAGCAAUUAUCAAGAAUGGUUCAUUGAGUGUGAAAAUCGAACUCCCGAUUUUUAUUUCAAGCAAGUUAUCAAGAAUGGUUGGAGACCAUGUUAUUUGCUAAAUGAUUGAUAUGCCAUAUACCAUGAGAAUGGAAAUAUUGGUUGUCUCAAGCAAGUAAGGAAGAAUGGUAGGCGAUCAUGUUCUUUGGAGAUAUUCGAUGGAAAUAGAACUCUUUUUAUCACCAUACCGGUGUGAAGUCAGUGUUUUCAAGUCAAUACGACAACAAGUUUUAGUGCGUUCCAAAUGGGUAAAUGGAGUAACUUGCUUGUAAUUUUUAUUUUUGUGGUGUAAACAUAUAAUGUGUUAUAAUUCAAUUAGAAACAGAAUUGUAGUUUUAUUUAA